rnacentral:rRNA from 1 species
UCGAGCGGUAAGGCCCUUCGGGGUACACGAGCGGCGAACGGGUGAGUAACACGUGAGCAACCUGCCCCUGACUCUGGGAUAAGCGGUGGAAACGCCGUCUAAUACCGGAUACGACCUUCCGCCUCAUGGUGGAGGGUGGAAAGUUUUUUCGGUCAGGGAUGGGCUCGCGGCCUAUCAGCUUGUUGGUGGGGUAACGGCCUACCAAGGCGAUUACGGGUAGCCGGCCUGAGAGGGCGACCGGCCACACUGGGACUGAGACACGGCCCAGACUCCUGCGGGAGGCAGCAGUGGGGAAUAUUGCGCAAUGGGCGAAAGCCUGACGCAGCGACGCCGCGUGGGGGAUGACGGCCUUCGGGUUGUAAACCUCUUUUACCACCAACGCAGGCUCCGGGUUCUCUCGGGGUUGACGGUAGGUGGGGAAUAAGGACCGGCUAACUACGUGCCAGCAGCCGCGGUAAUACGUAGGGUCCGAGCGUUGUCCGGAAUUAUUGGGCGUAAAGAGCUCGUAGGCGGCGUGUCGCGUCUGCUGUGAAAGACCGGGGCUUAACUCCGGUUCUGCAGUGGAUACGGGCAUGCUAGAGGUAGGUAGGGGAGACUGGAAUUCCUGGUGUAGCGGUGAAAUGCGCAGAUAUCAGGAGGAACACCGGUGGCGAAGGCGGGUCUCUGGGCCUUACCUGACGCUGAGGAGCGAAAGCAUGGGGAGCGAACAGGAUUAGAUACCCUGGUAGUCCAUGCCGUAAACGUUGGGCGCUAGGUGUGGGGACUUUCCACGGUUUCCGCGCCGUAGC